AUUGAACGCUGGCGGCAUGCUUUACACAUGCAAGUCGAACGGUAACAGGCCGCAAGGUGCUGACGAGUGGCGAACGGGUGAGUAAUGCAUCGGAACGUGCCCAGUCGUGGGGGAUAACUACUCGAAAGAGUAGCUAAUACCGCAUACGAUCUAUGGAUGAAAGCGGGGGACCGUAAGGCCUCGCGCGAUUGGAGCGGCCGAUGUCAGAUUAGGUAGUUGGUGGGGUAAAGGCUCACCAAGCCAACGAUCUGUAGCUGGUCUGAGAGGACGACCAGCCACACUGGGACUGAGACACGGCCCAGACUCCUACGGGAGGCAGCAGUGGGGAAUUUUGGACAAUGGGCGCAAGCCUGAUCCAGCAAUGCCGCGUGCAGGAAGAAGGCCUUCGGGUUUAAACUGCUUUUGUACGGAACGAAACGGCUCUGGUUAAUACCCGGGGCUAAUGACGGUACCGUAAGAAUAAGCACCGGCUAACUACGUG
rnacentral:rRNA from 1 species